UGGAUGAUAGAAGAUGAUGAUGGCAAGAUGAUCUCAAACUCGAAGAAACUGCUUGUGGCGGUGGAGCCAGAGGUUCGGCUUCACAAAGACUGAAAAACGGCUGAUGUUCGCCCCUGACAUGCGGAGACUACAAGAGCUGGAGUGAACUCUAAGACGAAGCAACAGUCAUAAAGACAGAAGAUCGGACGAGUUUCAUGGAACGUGGAAGCUGGUGCAAAGCGAUUCAGAGGUUCAAUGGCCACCUUUACAAUCGAGAAAUGUGAACUGAGGAAGAAGCAAGCUGCAGCGACACACAAAUUGUAGCUCCUUUAGUAUCAGCAACAAAUCCUAUGAUCGUAGGAGGCCGUCUCUUCGAGACUAAAUAAAUAAAACAUCUCAGAGACUACGCUAAGGAGCUGCUUAUUCUGGCCAACUUGUGAGUACAACCUUGAGAGAUUGUGUUUCUUUUCUAUUUGGAAAAUAGUCUGGCAGCCAACUUGGUCCA